AUGACUGUAUGCUACAUUGAUCUUUGGAUCACACUUGGAAUGUGAAAGGUUUCCUAGUGUUAGUUUUAGGUCUCCCUGAAGUCCGUAGACUUCCACUCUAUUAGUCACCCUAGAACACAGUCAACGAGCCUAACGGAAAUGUGUAUUCAUUAGGUAUAUACUGUAGCUAAAUGUUUAAUGGAGGGCUACGCUAGCGUUUCUUGGACCAAUUCAGAAAUUGGUACACAAGAAGGAGUAGCACUAGUCUUUUUAGGAUUAGGUGAAAAUAGGGAGACAAUGUAUUUGUAUUAAGGGUUUAGUCUUUGAAUGGUGGAUUUGUGCAGAUUCCCUUGGCCUUCCUUCCUGUUUAACUCUUGAUGUCUGGUCUUGCUGUAGAGACUGAACACAGCAGGAUUAUUGCUAGACUUUUUUUUGUUUUCUUAACUAUUUUACGACGUAUUCAUUGACGAAACGAACUCCACUACAAAUACAAGCCUCAAUAGAAGAACCUCUGAUCCUUUUUUAGUUAGAAAUAAAAAGACAAAGAUGUUUUAUUUUCUAAGAGUAUGUAGUAGUAGCAUUAGUGAAAUAACCUACUAUGAUGGAUCAUAUUUUUUAUUUUUUAUCAGUGGGCUAUUUUGUUUUUUUUGUUCCUUUUUUUUGUGGAAAGAUUUAGAGACUGUAUCCAGACCUGCCUUACUGUUACCAAUAUGUUCCUUUUUUUGUGGAAAGAUUUAGAGACUGUAUCCAGACCUGUCUUACUGUUACCAAUAUGUUCCUUUUUUGAACAGGGAGUUAUUCUACCGUAAACUAAGAUUAUUUUUAUGUAUUUUUUCGUUUUGUUUUUAAAGGAUACUUCCUCUGACAUUCUUAGAGCUGUCAUUUUAUUGUGAGGAACUGCAGUUCGAUCGGAAUAGUUGUUCUGUUUUUGUCCUCUGUUUUGUGAGUGACCCUCUCACUCAGUCAACUCGUCUCAGUGCACAAGUCUCCCCUUCUCCAGACACCGCGUAUGAAUCAGAAUCCGUAGCUAGUUGUGACACGUGAGCCUCUGGAUGAAAAGCAGAGUAUCCCUAAAGCAGCGUGGUCGUAUCAGCCCCCCAUGUUGGACUAAACUCUACACAAGUGAAAACCCCAAAUCCCUAAAGAUCCUCUAUUUGCCAAACUAGAGGGACAUGAAGUCUGACUCCUUCCUCAACAUGUGGACCUGCCCUGAGGAUGUUGGACACCACUGUUACACCUUCAGCCUUGUUGAUUUCCUGUCAGACUGGUUGUUUUUCAACUCCAUUCCACGGACGGACUGACCUGAAAUUUUACCAGAACAGGAACACAAUGUUCAACAGACUCUACUCAGACUGGUCGUCUUUGAACUCAAGAGGAACACAAUGUUCAUCAGACUCUCUCCUCACCAGUGGACUAACUACUGAGACUGGUUGUCUUUGAACUCAAGAGGAACACAAUGUUCAACAGACUCUCUCCUCACCAGUGGACUG